UUGGGGGUUCGUUCCUUUUCCUCACUGAGUCGCCUCUGUCUGAAGAGUGGAACCCCCUUCCUCCCUAGUUCCCAUGUUGAAGAUCAUCUCCGUAGCCUCCGGGUGGUGUGGCUGACAUCUAGCUGGAUGCAGUGGAUGAUUCUGGAGGACCUCUUGCCCUUCUCCUUCAUGACCUGUAGGGCAGGGCCAAGAGGAGGAAGCAGCCUCAGAACAGACAAAAGACUCCCUGCCCCAAACGGCAGUCAUCCCACAGUCAGCACUUCUGGAAGGAAGGAAGGAAGGUUUCCUUCUGCAGAAAGCUCCUUUUUACCUUGUUUCUGACACCAGGGAGGGUCAGCAGAGCCCAGCGCACCUGUGGUGCCUGAGUUACCAUCUAUGCCCAGGAUGUGCG
rnacentral:lncRNA from 1 species